UCCUUGUGAAAUCCGAAUAAACGGGAUAACAAUUGGGCUUAGCCCCUUUGGAUGAAGAAAGACAGGUAUUCAAAUGAUACGAAUCAAUCCACAAACGUAACAACUUCAGGAUCACAAGUUUAGUGUCAUGCUUCAGAUAACCAACAUUCAUUAAUCGAAAUACUUGAGAGUCAAUAGUUUAGGCUCAACAAAAGAUAGAUACGGGCUAGUUCUACAGCGGAAGUCAAAAUAAGGAGUUGAACUCUAGCCUCAGCUCCGCCCCG
rnacentral:lncRNA from 1 species